UAGUAGCGUAUAUUAAUGUUGUUGCAGUUAAAAAGCUCGUAGUUGAAACUUGAAUAUUUGCAAUUUAUUUGGUUUUCUAUUUUAAUAGAUAAACUAUAAAUUCAUAUUCUUCCUACUAGUAACUCGAUUCUGUUCUUAAUUGAAUGGAAUAAUAAUAUUUCGAUAUUAUCGAUUUUUAUAAUCAAUUCCACCAUCAAUAUGGAAUAGUGUAAAAGCUUUGAAAUAUUAUGAGUGGGUUCAAUUCAUUGUUUAAAUUGGAGUUCUAGUUCAUUUACUUUGAGAAAAUUAGAGUGUUUAAAGCAGCCUCUUGGGGCUCUGAAUACAUUAGCAUGGGAUAAUAGAAUAGGAUUUCAAUCAUAUCUUUGUUGGUUUGAAUGAAUGAAAUAAUGAUUAAGAGGAACAGUUGGGGGUAUUUAUAUUGGAUGGUGAGCGGUGAAAUGCAUGGAUCCAUUCAAGAUAAACUAAAGCGAAAGCAUUUACCAAGGAUGUUUUCAUUAA
rnacentral:rRNA from 1 species